GGACCAAGGAGUCUGACAUGUGUGCG
rnacentral:snRNA from 1 species